UCUAAGCUAACCUGAUUGGCUACUGUUGGA
rnacentral:piRNA from 1 species